AUUAAAUGAAGGAGUAUUAUUUGUUUGACAUCUGAAUGAAGGAGUGAGCACAAUAAGAUUUCAAAGUUCACCUCCUCAAUCUCUCAUGGGAGUACCCUUUGGUGCUGCGCAUUUGGUUGAUUGGGGCAGGUUGGAGAAUGUUGAAGAGCCUCCAGGUAUGGUUGGAUUUGGGUCGCCGUCAUCAAGCUCAACGAUUGCUGGGCAGUGUGGCUGGUUGUAGGAGCUUGGGACGGAGAACACAGCUUCGACAAAGGCGAUUCCGACGAGAAAAGUGAUUCUGGUGAUGGCAAUUCUGGCGUGGUCCUGGUGAUGACGAUUCCGUUUGGGAGGUUUCGGAGGGAGACGGCGUUUGUGGGUGGCUCUGAUUUUGAUUUGCGAUAUUUGCAGGGAAGGGUCAACCAUGUUAUUCCAUCCAUGAGAUUUUUCUUCUUGUAAAUUUUCUAUAAAUAUUUGCCAUUUGUUUCCGACGGAUUCUUGCGACUCCAAAGGGUGAUAUAUAUUUUCUGAAAAUUUUCCUGUAAUCAAAUAUUUCCCAAUAAAUUUUCCUGAACAUUAGAAUU